GUUUUCAUUUAUACUGUACAUUGCAAGCUGUGGGUGGAGCUUUUGGGUGGACCUCACAAAACUUCACAUCUGUGUGCAGUUUUCAUUCGCUGUUUGUGGUGCAAAGAUGAUGCUUCUGUGCUGUCUGCUCGUGUUUUCAAUAACAGAACUUACAUUUGCACAGUCAAUAAGACCACUGCAGAAUGACAUUCAUGUCACUGAAAAGCAGCCGGUCAUGCUGUCAUGCAAAUAUGAGGGAAGUGCAAACAGUCUUCAUUGGUAUCGCCAGUAUCCUGGAUCCAAACCCGAAUUUGUGCUCCUUGUCAUGGAGGCAUCAACAAAACAUGUAAAAUAUGCAGAUCCCCGUAUCCCUGGAAUGGAUGGAAAAAUGAGCAUGAAAGAUAAGAAAGUGGAUCUGGAGAUCUCCUCUGCUGAAGUAUCAGACUCUGCUCUGUAUUACUGUGCCCUGGAGCCCACAGUGACAGGAAACACAAGAACACUGUACAAAAACCACUAUGAAGUGAAAAAAACAACUGAAUCUCCAUUCUUUUGUCAUAGCUCAUGUUUUCUAUUUGCAGAUUAA